CGUGUAGGCGGGAAGGAAAGUCAGAUGUGAAAUCCCCAGGCUCAACCUGGGAACUGCAUUUGAAACUCCCUUUCUUGAGUACCGGAGAGGAAAGUGGAAUUCCUGGUGUAGAGGUGAAAUUCGUAGAUAUCAGGAGGAACACCAGUGGCGAAGGCGGCUUUCUGGACGGUAACUGACGCUGAGACGCGAAAGCGUGGGGAGGCAAAACA
rnacentral:rRNA from 1 species